UGGGGAAUAUUGCACAAUGGGCGCAAGCCUGAUGCAGCCAUGCCGCGUGUGUGAAGAAGGCCUUCGGGUUGUAAAGCACUUUCAGCGGGGAGGAAGGCGAUAAGGUUAAUAACCUUGUCGAUUGACGUUACCCGCAGAAGAAGCACCGGCUAACUCCGUGCCAGCAGCCGCGGUAAUACGGAGGGUGCAAGCGUUAAUCGGAAUUACUGGGCGUAAAGCGCACGCAGGCGGUCUGUCAAGUCGGAUGUGAAAUCCCCGGGCUCAACAUGGGAACUGCAUUGGAAACUGGCAGGCUAGAGUGUUGUAGAGGGGGGUAGAAUUCCAGGUGUAGCGGUGAAAUGCGUAGAGAUCUGGAGGAAUACCGGGGGCGAAGGCGGCCCCCUGGACAAAGACUGACGCUCAGGUGCGAAAGCGUGGGGAGCAAAAAGG
rnacentral:rRNA from 1 species